rnacentral:rRNA from 1 species
UUCCAUCGCGACCCCAGGUCAGGCGGGACUACCCGCUGA